rnacentral:rRNA from 1 species
AGAUUGAACGCUGGCGGCAUGCUUUACACAUGCAAGUCGUGCGGCGGCGCGGGGGCAACCUUGGCGGCGAGCGGCGAACGGGUGAGGAAUACAUCGGAACGUACCCCGGAGUGGGGGAUAACCCAGCGAAAGUUGGACUAAUACCGCAUAUGCUCUGAGGAGGAAAGCAGGGGACUUCGCAAGAGGCCUUGCGCUCUGGGAGCGGCCGAUGUCCGAUUAGCUAGUUGGUGGGGUAAUGGCUCACCAAGGCGACGAUCGGUAGCUGGUCUGAGAGGAUGAUCAGCCACACUGGGACUGAGACACGGCCCAGACUCCUACGGGAGGCAGCAGUGGGGAAUUUUGGACAAGUGGGGGCAACCCUGAUCCAGCCAUGCCGCGUGCGGGAAG